CUGAGCCGGACCCAGGGCCACGCAAAAUGGAGGCCUCAGGGGAGCCAGCUGAAGCCCUCCAUCUGUCCCAAGAGGAGCUGAGAGCAACCCCAUCUUCUGAGCACUUAGUGGACACAAGCACACAGGGUCAUGCCCACAGCGCUUCUGGGCCUGCGGUUGGCACCACCAAUAAAGCCACAGCGGCAGAGCCGGGAAGAGGCCCAGCCUUGGCAGGGCAGUGGUGAGCGCCCCUCACCCCCCACAGCCAGGUGGUCGGUGAGUAACUCUGCCCUGUCACCAUGACUCACUCGGCUCCCCAGAGCGGGCGGUCACCAUGAGAAACUCCUACCGGAAGAUCUGGGGGGAUCACUGCAGCCAGCCCCCACAUCUGGGAGAGGGAGGCCGAGACGGGAAGGGACCUGCCCAGGUCAGCAGGCCAGCCUCGCCCGGGCACAGGGCCUCGGCCAGGCCCCGGCACCAGCUGACCCUGGCCGUCUGACACCUGCCCUCCCUCAGGCCCUCGCUGACAACGGGGGGAGCAGCGCUGGCCAGAACUGCCUCCAGAGGCCGGCUGGGCCCAGCGCAGAGUCCAGCGGGGGCUCAGGGCGCUUCCAGG
rnacentral:lncRNA from 1 species